AAAAAGGUAAGCUAAACAAGCUAAUAGGUUCAUACCCUAUUUAUGAGGAUAAAUUGAACCCCUCCCUUUUUA
rnacentral:tRNA from 1 species